rnacentral:misc_RNA from 1 species
UACCCCCGCCCUUAUUUGCACGGCGUCUUUUAUAUUUUACCUCUGUUAGUCUCCCUCCUGCGGUGGUGGUAGCCUUGAUUGCCCGUGUAUUGUUGCUGUCGUUGUUAUCGCUGCACCGGCACAGCCCAUCGUACUCACUAUCUCGGGCUCCCUUCUGUGUGUGUUUGUGUUUUUUGUUGGAGUCCCCUAGAAAAAGCGCAGAGACACACGAGCAAAUUCCGUGCUGUCGUGCUGGCUCGCUGCGCCUCCGUCCCUCUCUCUCGUUCGCUUACGCGAGGGGUACUAGCGCCUCUCCGCCCUCUCCACACUCGCGACGACACCCGUGAACACAACAGAGGCACGUGCCGAAAAAAAAAAGAUGGAGUCGCCAAUCAACCCAGCCGUGUGGAAGGUGCUCUUCAACGCUGCUCUCGGCACCCUCUCGGUCGCCAUCCUCUACUCUGUCUACCACCAGAGGUACGACAUGGAGUCGGCGCAGCGGGCGGCGUUCCUGGAGCUGCGCAAGGCGGACUCCGAGGAGGCCCGUGUGGCGAAGCUGACGGAGCUGCAGGCGGCAUGCAAGCCGGAGGUGGUCCGCCGCCAGCCUUCUGCUCGCAUGAGCGCCCUCAAGCACGGCGCCCCGAUUGUGCAGAUGGCGAAGCUGCAGAAGGAUGGCACGAACGUGGAGAGUGUUCGCUUGGCUAUCAAGGUCAUCCUGUACAUCUACGGCCCCGACGCCGAGGGCCGACAGAAGCUGAACAGCCUUGAUGGCUACAAGGUCCUGUUAACGACUCUAAGCGAGGCGCAGCGGCAGGGAGAGGCGGACUUGAUGGAGGAUGUGGCUCAGGCGCUGGAUGCGCUGACAGAGGUGGACGACUCCGAGGUCGUCCUCGACACGGAUGUGCCCAAGGGUAGCGAAGGCGCCGCCACGCUGGCCCGCUUGCCGGCCACCGUGAAAAUGCUGCGCAUCCUCGACCCGGAAGGCUCCGUCACGUUCCUCGCAUCGCUCACGGGCAUCUUUGCAAACAUCUGCACUCUCGCGGAGGGUGCGGCCAACAUCGGUAGUGGCGUAGAUGGGCACAGCGGCAUGUCCUUCUUCUUGCGGCUGUUGGACCACACCAACCGCCGCGUCGUAGCGAACGCCAUCACGGCCGUGCGCUUCCUCACUCGUGCGCAGGUCUGCCAGGAGGAGCUGAUCGAGGAGGAGAACUUGACGCGCCUGGCGGACAACCUGCAUGUGACCGGCGAACCGGUGGUCGUGAACUCUAUCCUGACGGUCGUCCUGGUGAUGGCCGGCAGCAAGAAGUAUGGCGAGGCCUUCUUCUCCGGGAUCGCCUCCAGCACUAUUCCCAGCACCCUCUUCGAGUUGUGGAUACGCUCCCCUGAGAAAUCGCUGCGCAGUCGUGCGGAGGUGCUGUCGCGUUUGCUGCUGCGCAUCCCGCAGACAGCCCCCAUCGCGGCUGCUCUAUUCGAGCGCUUCCGCCCACAGCUGGAGGAGCGCCGCCGGCGUGAUGAGGAGGAGUACAAGCAGCAGAUGCAGCAGAUGCAGCAGAACCAGAUGAUGCAGCGAAUGAUGAUGGAACAGAUGGGCAUUGAUCCCUCCAUGAUGGGCUAGGCGCGGCAAUACCUGGAAUGAGGGGACACCCACCAGGUAUGCCAUCAAGCCGCACCAAGCGGAUGAGAAUACCACGAUGCCGUCGCGCGCACUCAAAGACCAUCGCAAAGCGUGUAUGAGGAGAGCCGGCACGUCGCAGUGCACGUCCACGGCUGUGUGAUGUGUAUGCGCUCACACCGUACGAUCAUCCCUGUCUCUGACCCACAUCGUUUGGCUGUGUAAGUCUUCUCUUUCCAUCAGGCAGUGCUCCUUCAUCUCGACUUUUCAUUUUUUCGUGUGUGGGGCGGCGGCUUUUGUGCGCGCGGGCCGCAACGGCGUCUUUGCUCGAGGGCAGUGCAGCGGAUCACCAACUUGGGUUAGUUUUGCAGGCUAUAUGCGCGUGCGCACGUCUCUGAAUGUUCUUCUCUCUUGCCUGCACGCUGGAUCGUACGGAUGGGGUCUACUAUGUGCGUCGUGGUUCGUUGUUUAAGAUCCGACAUAUAAAACAAAAGUGGAGGGUGGCAUACACUCAGGCGAUCCCGCGCAAGUGAGAGGCGAAACGAGCGAGCUGGAGAAGGUCUUUGGAGCAGCGGCGUGCUUGUGUGGAAAGGGCGAGAGGCUUCGUUGUCGGCUCGUGGAGAUGAGCAGCAGAGUAAGGAAACGGGGCAAUCGAAUCGAGGAAGAGCAAGAGAAGCGCACCCAACGACGUCACGUGGCGUACCUAGGAUGCGUGUGGUGCGCGCCGGUGCGUCGCGGCGUGCCCUCUCUCUUUGACUUCUCGACGGUUUUCCCUUUUCUUCUGUCUUCCUCACUCCCCUCGGCCUUCCGCCGAGCUCGGAGGACAGGACUGAUAGCAGUUUUAGCGCCGCUUUCAGUCUCCCUACCUUGUCCUCUUCAUGUGCGUCUCUCUGCCUGUGUGUGUGUUUGUGUGUGUGUGUGUGUGUGUGUCGCGCUCUCUACGCGGUCUACGGUACGCCCUCCUCCGUGUCUUUCACCGCCGUCUCUCUCGUUCUCCACACACAACAACAACAAGCGAUAAGACGAAGUACUAAAAGGCAAACCAAACAAAAUACAAAGAGAGCCACAGCGAGCGGAGGAAGCUGACAUGAUGAGGUGCGGCGCUGAAGCGCUCAACG